AUGUUUAAAUGUCGCUACUCGGUCAGGAUUUGGAAUUUGAUGAAUGAUUGGUUGGGGAUACAGUCGCACACGACCUCUUGGGCCGAUUUUCCAUCCGUUGAAAGGUGGUGGGACACUAACGGACUUCUCAAACGCGCAAGCAGGAAGGCUCUCAACUCUCUGAAGAUGCUAAUAUGUUGGGCAAUUUGGAACGAAAGGAAUGCAAGGAUCUUUCAAAACAAGGCCUCCUUACCCACUCACAUAUUUUCAUCCAUCAAGGCAGAGGCGCAGCUAUGGGUGAGAGCGGGGGUUAAGUAUCUGAGGAACCUUAUUCCGGUAGAGUAA
rnacentral:rRNA from 1 species